rnacentral:rRNA from 1 species
AUGGAGCUAUUCAAGAUGAGUGAAGUUACUACCUUGGGAUCAAGAUACAACAAAAGCCGGAGGGGAUCACACUAUGUCAGAUGGCAUAUGCAAAGAAGAUACUUGAAGGCCGUAGCAUGGAGGAUUGCAAUCCAGCUUAUGUUCCAAUGGAGCCUCGGCUUAAACAUAGCAAAAGGAGUAAAGUGCCCACAGUUGAUGCAACGGGCCGCAACCGUGGCGUGCCAAGGUGUGUGGCUAGAAAGGCUACCCGGUGACCUCACGGACAAAGAACCAGAAAGAGUGAUGCUCAAUAUUGAUAACAACUCCGUGGUUUCCCUAUGUAAGAAUUCGGUACAUCAUGACAAGAGCAAACACAUCGAUAUCAAGUAUCACUGUAUACGAGAGUGUGUGGAAGAAGGCAAAAUUGAAGUCAACUAUAUUUGCACUGACGACCAGCUUGCAGAUAUCCUGACCAAAUCUUUGGGACAACAUAAGUUUGUGGAGAUGCAGGAAAGAUCGGCGUCCAAGCUGUAA